rnacentral:rRNA from 1 species
GUCGUAACAAGGUCUCCGUUGGUGAACCAGCGGAGGGAUCAUUACCGAGUUUACAACUCCCAAACCCCUGUGAACAUACCUAUCGUUGCUUCGGCGGGAUGCCCCAGUUUGACGCAAGCUGGACCCAGGCGCCCGCCGGAGGACCCAAACUCUUGUUUUAUUUAUGUAUCUUCUGAGUAAACAAGCAAAUAAAUUAAAACUUUCAACAACGGAUCUCUUGGUUCUGGCAUCGAUGAAGAACGCAGCGAAAUGCGAUAAGUAAUGUGAAUUGCAGAAUUCCGUGAAUCAUCGAAUCUUUGAACGCACAUUGCGCCCGCCAGUAUUCUGGCGGGCAUGCCUGUUCGAGCGUCAUUUCAACCCUCAAGCCCCCGGGCUUGGUGUUGGGGUUCGGCCCGUCCCUAGCGGCGCGCCGUCCCCGAAAUCUAGUGGCGGUCUCGCUGUAGCCUCCUCUGCGUAGUAGCUAACACCUCGCAACGGGAACGCAGCGCGGCCACGCCGUUAAACCCCCCACUUCUGAAGGUUGACCUCGGAUCAGGUAGGAAUACCCGCUGAACUUAAGCAUAUCAAUA